rnacentral:rRNA from 1 species
AGUGAACGCUGGCGGUAUGCCUAACACAUGCAAGUCGAGCGACCGCACGGGAAGCUUUCUCUUCUGCUGUUGGCGGCUGACGGGCGGGUAACACGUACAUAACCUACCUAUAUUUCUUGGAUAACUUCGUGAAAACGCUGCUACUACUGGCUAAUAUUUUCUACCGCUUGAUUCAAAAGUUCUUCGCGGUUUUGCUGUCUCUUAUAGACGGUUCCGCGCUGCAUUAGCUAGUUGGUAAGGUAACGGCCUACCAAGGCAACGAUGCGUAGCUGACCUGAGAGGGUGAUCGGCCACACUGGAACUGAGACACGGUCCAGACUCCUACGGGAGGCAGCAGUAGGGAAUAUUGCGCAAUGGGCGAAAGCCUGACGGAGCAACGCCGCGUGAGUGAAGAAGGUCUUCGGGUCGUAAAGCUCUGUUAUUAGGGAAGAACAGAUGUAGAAGAAAAUGUGGAUGUUUUGACGGUACCUAAACAGAAAGCAACGGCUAACUACGUG